UUGAACGCUGGCGGCAUGCCUUACACAUGCAAGUCGAACGGUAACGCGGGGCAACCUGGCGACGAGUGGCGAACGGGUGAGUAAUACAUCGGAACGUGCCCAGUAGUGGGGGAUAGCCCGGCGAAAGCCGGAUUAAUACCGCAUACGACCUACGGGUGAAAGCGGGGGAUCGCAAGACCUCGCGCUAUUGGAGCGGCCGAUGUCAGAUUAGGUAGUUGGUGGGGUAAAGGCCUACCAAGCCUACGAUCUGUAGCUGGUCUGAGAGGACGAUCAGCCACACUGGGACUGAGACACGGCCCAGACUCCUACGGGAGGCAGCAGUGGGGAAUUUUGGACAAUGGGCGCAAGCCUGAUCCAGCCAUGCCGCGUGCGGGAAGAAGGCCUUCGGGUUGUAAACCGCUUUUGUCAGGGAAGAAACGCUCUGGGCUAAUACCCCGGGGUAAUGACGGUACCUGAAGAAUAAGCACCGGCUAACUACGUGCCAGCAGCCGCGGUAAUACGUAGGGUGCAAGCGUUAAUCGGAAUUACUGGGCGUAAAGCGUGCGCAGGCGGUUAUGCAA
rnacentral:rRNA from 1 species